rnacentral:ncRNA from 29 species
GCCGGGAUAGCUCAGUUGGUAGAGCAGAGGAC